GGGGGGGGGGGGGAGGGGGAUGUUCUUUGAGCCGGAAUGGUGUGGAUUUAGUCCAUCCUAGAUGAGGCCAUCUCUUGUCCCAGGCUGCAGGCGCCAGGUCAGCAAGCCUCCUGCCCCGUAAGGGCAGCAGAAAGAACUUCACACGUCUCCAUCAGCUGAAUGGCUCAGUCUUCCUAGGCUGCUAUUUCUCUAGAUGAAAACACAGAUACACCAAAUGUUGUCUGCGAAUACACCUGGGGAAACAACCGUUCUGUGAUGUUUAAGAAAAAAAAAAAACAAAACAAACCCAAACGAGUCACCACGCCAAAGAAACACCCCGCAAAUGACAUCCGUGAGGUACAAAUAGCGGCAUCGCUAGCAAAGGCUCAUGCAGAAGCUUACCUUGAGACCUUAGAAGCUUCUUCCAAAAUUGUACCCUCCUUAAUGAGUGAUGAGGGAUGGGUUUUGGAUGGAGAAGAGACGCAAUGAUCUAGCCAGUAGAUGGAGGUUGUUCCUUGUUCCUAGCAGAGGAUCCCUAUGUUAAUUAAAAUAAACAAGCUGCUUGGUGGAAA